rnacentral:rRNA from 1 species
GAUCAUGGCUCAGGAUGAACGUUGGCGGCGCGCCUAACACAUGCAAGUCGAACGGACAAUGAAGAGCUUGCUUUUCAAAGUUAGUGGCGGACGGGUGAGUAACGCGUGGGUAACCUGCCUCAUACAGGGGAAUAGCAGCUGGAAACGGCUGAUAAAACCGCAUAAGCGCACAGUGCCGCAUGGCACAGUGUGAAAAACUCCGGUGGUAUGAGAUGGACCCGCGUCUGAUUAG